ensembl:lncRNA novel transcript, antisense to FMO5
AGCGCUUGGCCUCUGAGACUACCCGGCAGAAGGGACGUCCCCAAAUGACACUCGGAGGCCGCCUCCCUGGGCUCCGGUGCUCGGUGCCGGGAGGAGCGGCACGGCUUUCUACCCCGCCUCAGGUGCGCCAGCACGUUUUCUGGGCAGCAUCUGUGUGUUAGGCGACCGGAGAGGUGGGUUCCUUAUAGGGAAUAAGAAAACUGAAACUGACUUCCAACUGCAGGCAGAAGGAAGCAGUGGUCAUUGCUGGAGGUUAAAACUGUUCUGACCGGGCGCAGUGGCUCACGCCUGUAUUCCCAGCACUUUGGGAGGCUGAGGCGAGCAGAUCACGAAGUCAGGAGAUCAAGACCAUCCUGGCCAACAAGGUGAAACCCCGGCUCUACUAAAAAUACAAAAAUUAGCUGGGCGUGGUGGCGCGCGCCGGAAGUCCCAGCUACUUGGGAGGAUGAGGCAGAAGAAUCGCUUGAACCCGGGAGGCGGAGGUUGCGGUGAGCCGAGAUCGCGCCAUUGCACUCCAGCCUGGCGACUCAGCGAUACUCCGUCCCCCUCUCCCCGCCCCAAGAAAAAUCUGUUCAGUGGGGAGCGACAAGGAAGGAGCUUUCAGCCCGACUGGGGUCGCAGGGAAGAAUUCAAGAUGGCGUGUUUAGGAGCUCUAGCUCCUUGACAAAUUAGUAAAAUGUUAGUCUUAGGAGAAGAACGAAAAGGCUCUCCUAGGCUAAGAAACAGCAUACACAGUGAGAAACCUCAGAAGAAAUAAAAUUCAAGGAAGAUAGCAACAACGAAAACAUCAGAAGGAACACUAAAGUAGUCAAAUCAGCCUAGCAGAAACAAAGUACGUUAACCAAUGGAAAACUGACGGAGAGAAAUAAACUGUUUUUGCACAGCUAAAUGGAAAUGACUUUUGAAUUAUCUGCUUUGGAAGAUUAUCCAUGACACUGUUCUGCCCUGCUCUGCUCUAACAACAUUUAUUCCCUUGGAGUGUUCUUGUUGUGGAUGAAGCUCACAGGUUGAAAAACCAAAGCUCCCUGCUGCAUAAGACCUUGUCAGAGUAGUCUUCAGUCUCCUGUUGACCGGAACUCCCAUCCAGAACAGCCUCCAAGAGCUCUACUCCCUCCUCAGUUUUGUGGAGCCUGAUCUCUUUUCCAAGGAAGAGGUGGGAGAUUUUAUUCAACGCUACCAGGAUAUUGAGAAAGAAUCUGAGUCAGCAAGUGAACUGCACAAACUCUUGCAGCCAUUUCUGCUGAGGCGAGUGAAAGCUGAGGUAGCUACAGAGCUUCCCAAGAAGACAGAAGUAGUGAUAUACCAUGGCAUGUCAGCAUUGCAGAAGAAAUACUACAAGGCCAUUUUGAUGAAAGACCUAGAUGCAUUUGAAAAUGAGACGGCAAAGAAAGUUAAACUACAGAACAUUUUGUCCCAGCUUCGAAAGUGUGUGGAUCACCCAUAUUUGUUUGAUGGUGUGGAGCCGGAGCCUUUUGAAGUUGGAGACCACCUGACUGAGGCUAGUGGGAAGCUUCACCUGCUGGAUAAGCUACUAGCAUUCCUGUAUUCUGGGCUACAGCUAUGAGCGUGUGGAUGGUUCUGUGAGAGGAGAAGAGAGACACUUGGCCAUUAAGAACUUUGGACAGCAGCCCAUUUUCGUUUUUCUCCUGAGUACUAGGGCAGGUGGAGUUGGCAUGAACUUAACAGCAGCAGAUACUGUGAUUUUUGUUGACAGUGACUUUAAUCCUCAGAAUGACUUGCAAGCAGCUGCCAGGGCUCAUCGCAUUGGCCAAAACAAGUCUGUUAAAGUUAUUCGGCUGAUUGGUCGAGACACUGUGGAAGAAAUAGUCUAUAGGAAAGCAGCCUCCAAACUGCAGCUCACCAACAUGAUCAUAGAAGGAGGCCAUUUUACUCUGGGAGCCCAGAAACCCGCUGCCGAUGCUGACCUCCAGUUGAGUGAGAUACUCAAAUUUGGUUUGGAUAAACUGCUGGCCUCUGAGGGGAGCACCAUGGAUGAAAUAGACCUGGAGUCCAUCCUGGGAGAAACAAAAGAUGGCCAGUGGGUCUCUGAUGCCUUGCCUGCAGCAGAAGGAGGGAGCAGAGAUCAAGAGGAAGGAAAAAAUCAUAUGUACUUAUUUGAAGGUAAAGAUUAUUCUAAAGAGCCCAGUAAGGAAGACAGAAAAUCAUUUGAACAACUGGUAAACCUUCAGAAAACCCUUUUGGAGAAAGCUAGUCAAGAGGGCCGAUCACUCCGAAAUAAAGGCAGUGUUCUCAUCCCAGGCCUUGUGGAGGGAUCUACCAAAAGGAAGCGGGUUCUGAGUCCAGAAGAGCUGGAGGACAGACAGAAGAAAAGACAAGAAGCAGCUGCCAAGAGAAGGAGACUCAUAGAGGAGAAGAAGAGGCAAAAGGAAGAGGCUGAACAUAAGAAAAAGAUGGCCUGGUGGGAAUCCAACAAUUACCAGUCCUUCUGCCUGCCCUCUGAGGAGAGCGAGCCAGAGGACCUUGAGAAUGGGGAAGAGAGCUCUGC